rnacentral:rRNA from 1 species
UACGGGGGGGCAAGCGUUGUUCGGAAUUACUGGGCGUAAAGGGCUCGUAGGCGGCCAACUAAGUCAGACGUGAAAUCCCUCGGCUUAACCGGGGAACUGCAUCUGAUACUGGAUGGCUUGAGUUCGGGAGAGGGAUGUGGAAUUCCAGGUGUAGCGGUGAAAUGCGUAGAUAUCUGGAGGAACACCGGUGGCGAAGGCGGCAUCCUGGACCGACACUGACGCUGAGGAGCGAAAGCCAGGGGAGCAAACGGG